GCAUGAAAUCUAGCCCAAUAUAUCACAUGAGAAACCCCCGGAUCUUCAACAAAAUAAAACAUUUUAUCUUUAAAGUAGGAGUGACUGAAAAAUUUAUAUAGAGCAAAAGAAUAAGUACCGCAAGGGAAUGAUGAAAUAGAAUUGAAAUAAUUUUAAAACAACAAAAAGCAGAGCCUCCCCUCGUACCUUUUGCAUCAUGAUCUAGCUAGUUAACCCUAGCGAAAUGAAACUUUUAGUUAGACCCCCCGAAACUGAGUGAGCUACUUCAGAAUAGCUUCCAAGAGCCAACCCGUCUCUGUCGCAAAAGAGUGGGAAAAUUUUUAAGUAGCGGUGAUAAGCCUACCGAACCCAGAGAUAGCUGGUUGUUCAGGAAAAGAAUUUUAGUUCUACCUUAAGAUUAUUCAUUAUAUCAAACAAUUAAUUAAGUCUUAAGAUUUAUUCAAACAAGGCACAGCUUGUUUGAAAUAGGACACAACCUAUAAAACAGGGUAAAUUAUAAAUUUAUAAACUAAGUGGGCCUAAAAGCAGCCAUCUUUAAAAAAGCGUUAAAGCUUACUUACAUUUAACUUACAAAUUCAAUAAAUAAUCUUCAACCCUUAAUCACUACUGAACAAUUUCAUAAAAGUAUGAAACCUAUACUGCUAGAACUAGUAACAAGAAAAUGACUUUCUCCUAAAUAUAAGCUUACACCAACAUUGACUGACUAUUGGUAUUUAACGUAAAUGACUUUACUGUAACAACUACCCCCCAGCAAAUCUUACAACAACCAACGUUACCCUAACACUAGAAUAUUUUAGGAAAGAUUAAAAGAGAAAGAAGGAACUCGGCAAAAUAAUUAACCCCGCCUGUUUACCAAAAACAUCGCCUCCUGAAUAACAUAGGAGGUCCAGCCUGCCCAGUGACCUUGUUCAACGGCCUCGGUAUUCUGACCGCGCGAAGGUAGCAUAAUAACUUGUUCUUUAAAUAGGGACUAGUAUCAACGGCAUCACGAGGGUUAUCCUGUCUCCUUUCUCUAAUCAGUGAACCUGACCUCUUCGUGAAGAGGCGAAGAUACAACUAUAAGACGAGAAGACCCCAUGGAGCUUAAAACAUAGAAACAAUUUCUUCACUAUAAACCCUAAAAAAUAAGAAAAUUUGUUAGCUAGUUUUCGGCUGGGGUGCCCAAGGAGAACAACCCAACCUCCCUGAUGACCUCUAUCCAAGAGUAACAACUCAAAGAAACAAUAAAUUGACGUAAUAUGACCCGAUUUUGAUAAUCGAUCAACGAACCAAGUUACCCUGGGGAUAACAGCGCAAUCCAUUUCAAGAGCCCCUAUCGACAAAUGGGUUUACGACCUCGAUGUUGGAUCAGGGUAUCCUGGUGGUGCAGCAGCUACUAAAGGUUCGUUUGUUCAACGAUUAAAACCCUACGUGAUCUGAGUUCAGACCGGAGCAAUCCAGGUCGGUUUCUAUCUAUAAAACGUUAUUUUUCGUACGAAAGGAUCAAAAUAACAUGGCCAAUAUUAUUAAUAAGCCAUCCCCCCAAAUUAAUGACUAACACUCAAUUAACCCAUGACUAUUAAUAUUUCCUAAACCAGGACA
rnacentral:rRNA from 1 species